GUGGAUUCAAAUACUGCAAGGAAGUCCUUUUUACUCACGUCUUUGUAAUUGUAGUCUAACCUCUGACUAGGACUGCUUUUUCUGUAUCGGUCCAUCGUGGUAUUGAACAAAGAUUUUUGGCAUGAAAUCAUCCCAACACUCACAAACGGAGCUGCAUCAAGACAAUAUUUCAAUGAGCUACAUCACACUGCAGCAACCAAGAACUAGAAAAAGCAGAAGAAAAAUAUAUAUACAGUGUUUUCAAGAAAAGCAGAGUGCAAGUGCAAUGGUUCCCAUGACCAUUCACCCUGCACCACUAAUGACCGCAAAGUCGUUCUCCCCUUCCUGUUACUACUAGACUGCUAGGUCUAAUGUGGUAAUGCAGGGGGUCGCACGGAGGAGACGAGCUCACUUGAAAUUCAUCGUGGAAAUGACUUUCCG